rnacentral:SRP_RNA from 1 species
GGCGCGUGCAUGUAAUCCAAGCUCGCGGGAGGCUGAGGCUGGAGGAUCGUUUGAGCUCAGGGCCUCUGAGCUGCAGCGGACUAUGUCAGCAGGUUGUCCGAAGGCGGGUGCAGCUGCCCAGGACGGAGACGGAGCAGGUCAAACCCGCCGUGCCGCUCAGUAGUUGGGACCCCGCCCGUGAAUAGACGCUGUAGUGCAGCCUGAGUAACACAGCGGCACCCAGUCUUAU